AUGUGCAUCUUUGGGUCCUACGAGAAUCUUCUCUCUGCUGUCAAGCACAAUUUCUACAUUCUCACGUCCAACCUUGAGAGGGUGAUCAAGCCCAAUGUCGCAGUCCUGCGAGAGUUUGGGCUUGGUCCUUGUGAUACUGCCAGGUUGUGCGUCGCUCAGCCAUGGCUGCUCACCACCAGGGCAGAGCGUGUCCGGGCGACAGGGGUGUGCGUCGAAGGUCUGGGUAUACCCUGA
rnacentral:rRNA from 1 species